AAACUGUACCAAACAAAGAUUUUUUCUUUAGGCUGUAGGAUACAAUUUGUAGGCCAGGACGUCUCUGCAGUAUCACAAUACUUCAUUCAGGUU